rnacentral:rRNA from 1 species
GACGUAGGGCGCGAGCGUUGUCCGGAUUUAUUGGGCGUAAAGAGCUCGUAGGCGGCUUGUUGCGUCAGCUGUGAAAACCCGUGGCUCAACCAUGUGGUCUGCAGUCGAUACGGGCAGGCUAGAAUUCGGUAGGGGAGACUGGAAUUCCUGGUGUAGCGGUGAAAUGCGCAGAUAUCAGGAGGAACACCGGUGGCGAAGGCAGCUCGCUGGGACGUUACUGACGCUGAGACGCGAAAGCGUGGGGAGCAAACAGG